GAGACUCCUUGACCUGUUCCUUGCUGCUCUUGAUGGAUUCCUUGUGGGACAGGCGUUAUCUGUAUCAGACCUUAGUGACAGAAAUCUUUCUAAAGCAAUUUCUGUUGAUCAUCGCAGUCAGGCUUCAUGUUUCUGGGCUUCAGCUCAUGUGGAUUUGCCUUUUAAUACCUAUUUGUUGGUCAUAUUGCAUAGCUGGUGUUAACCAGGCAGUUAAUUAGAUCAAUUUUCUUCUAAAGGAUGCAGUUUUCUGGAGUCUUCAAUGGGUGGCAGCCAUGCCUGUUCGUAGGCAGCUAAGUGAGACUGUUGUUGCUUUUGUCUUGUAGGAAUGAACUGGAGCGCCAGUUCCUUGAAUUGCUACAGUUUAACAUCAAUGUUCCUUCCAGUGUGUAUGCCAAGUAUUAUUUUGAUCUGCGUUCUCUGGCAGAAGCAAACAGCCUGAGCUUUCCUCUGGAGCCCCUGAGCAGGGAGCGUGCCCACAAGCUGGAGGCCAUCUCUCGUCUCUGUGAGGACAAGUACAAGGACCUCAGAAAACCCAUGAGGAAGCGUUCAGCAAGUGCUGACAACCUGAUUCUGCCGCGGUGGUCCCCAGCCAUCAUCUCCUAACUGGGGCACUCUCCUGAGGCCAUGCUGUCCCUCAGCUUCUCCUUUUGUUUAAGAAAAGAUGAACUUGGAUGGUUUGGUUUGGUUUUCUUUUUUCCUUCUGUUUUUAACACAGCCCCAUCAAGGCCGCCUUCAUGCCCACCUCCACGUUGCGUGGGUGUUCGCAAAGAGGCUUUAAGGGACGUAAAAUCAGUAUUCAGGAAACUCGGUGUCAAGCCUUCGCAGCAGUCACCAACAGCGCUUCUUUCAUGGAGGAAACAGACUCUAAUCCUGGAGAAGGAAAUGAAGGAAAAGGAAGUUGUGUUGAGGCAAAGAUUAGUUGGGAGCUUUGCUGUUUCUGGGUUUCUGUCUGGUCAUAGACACCAGAUGGAGGCAGAUGGUAGGUAGCAGAGUUGAAGGCACCUCCAGAUCCGGAUGCCAUGCUAUGCCCUUGGAAUCCGUGUGCUCUGUAAGACUCCUGCAUUCCUUCUUGCUGCUCUCUUGGGAUUGGGGGUGGGGAUGUUUGUUCAUUUUUAUUCUGGUUUGGUUUUGAUUCCUCAGAGCAGAGAGUAUAGUUUGUAACCAUCAUGGCACAGACAUCCAAAUAAAUAGUACUGAUUGUUUAUCUCUGCUCCAUUUUCUCUAGCCGUCUUCUGAGCUUUCUUCCUCACAAAUGAGAUGUGCUUGUUGUGUUUCUACGUACCUGUUUUAUACGACUCUCUUUCAAUAAUAGCAGGAUUAACUUGACUGUAGUGCUGAACCAAGACCUCUCCUGCCUAGUUCCAAGGACUGUCUAUCUAGAUUAACAUGGGUGCUUGUGCCUUCCAGUUUUCUCUCAAUUGGUUGUUCUCGGUUUGGGUUUUGUCCCCACCUCUCCCUCCCAGGUUCUCCUUUUCUGCUAACAUGAAGGUGUAAUUGCAAAACUCAGUCAGACUUUGUGGCUGAAGGCCAAGGUCCUCAGCGCAGGCCUCUUGGACAGAGAAGCAUCCGGGAGCCAGGUUUUCAUGACCUCCUGAGGAGCCGCGUCCAUGUGCUCCCUGCCUGGUCAUUGUUCUACUUCCAUGUCCAUUGUUGUAAGCAAUAUUCUCCUUGACUUUUAUAUGCUUCCUUUAAAUCAAAUUUAGUCUAUUUGUAUACAGUUUUUUUAAAAAAUCUAAAAUUUAGAAAAUGGGGAGUGGGUGGGUGGGUAUUCCAGUGGGAAGUUCACUAAAAGGAAAACUGUUACUAUUUCCUGCGAUAUUUUUCACAAAAUGAUUGAAUAAAAAAAAAUUCAACUUGCAUUCUCAUUGUGGGUGCUUGGAGAAGCUACACAAACUGUGAAGGUUCAUUCUUCUUAACUGUAACCAGCGUUUGUGUUUUCUGACUGUUUCUAACUUGGUUGGGGGAUAGGUUAAACUCUUCUGGUGAGUACAGUAGAAGAGUUACAGGUGCCUAUCAGAGAGGAUCUGACGUGAAGUCUGAGUCUCACACAAGUGCUUUGCUUCUACCCAUCUUCUUAGGUUGCAGUGACUGAGGUUGGUGAGGUGUUUAUUGUUUGAGACAAAUUCCAGCAUUUGCUUUGUUAUAUCCUCCUGUGUGAGCUUGGGGAAGUUUAGAACCGUAUGUUAGUGUUGAAUACCCUAAAAUCAUACGCCUGACCCCUCUCAAUGGAGCACAGUUUGAAAAUGGAAGGAACAAAUGUCAAAAUUCCAAGAGUAUAGAGCCACAAACGUUAGUCAGGAUUCGAUGCAGUGUGUCUUGUGCAGUUCUGUAUGCAGGAUAAGCAAGUUCUGGCCCAAACUUCCACAGCAGGAAGUAAAAAUUAACUUCCCUCCUGUUGCGUCUCUGAUGAUUUGCUCUGAGUGGGAAACAGGAUCAGCUUCUCUCUUUAGGAACCUUAAACAGAGGUCUAAAAAUGUAGAAAGUGUCAUUUUGUAUUCCCUCAUCUCUAUAACUCUAAAAGGGACCUAUUUUCUUAGCCAAAUAUGAAUACCUCUUAGAUUAAUUCCUUCCUCUCAUGUAAAGUACCUUAUUUUACCAGCCCAUUUCAGGAAAGAACUGCUGACUUGGUAGCAGAAAUCUUAUUUUUAUUCCUUUUAUUUGAAUGGGAGAUUUGGAAAUUGACUUAUGUAAAUAGUUAAAUGCACCUGAUACUAUUUUGUGGAGUUUAUUAAACUACUUUAAAAGAUUGUACAGUGUAUUUGUUGUAUGUGUGUACACACAGUCUGGUAUCUGACAUCAGCAAUGACUCUUUAGAGCCUGGCUUGGUUUUGUUCAGACUGUUAACUAUUGUUUUCAAGCCUGUGCACUGGACUCUACCUCUGAAUAGGAAAGUUUUCCCUUUGCAUCAAUGAGUGUUAAGCUGUAUUAAUUGGUUGUAUUUCUUGCACUAAGGAUUUCAGUUGUACUGUUUAGUCUGAAUUACUAGGCAUGUAAGUAUAGGCUCAUUUAAUUUUUCUAUACAAUAAUGAAGACUUAUUUUUGUUUUCUGGGUUGUUCUCAGUUUGCCAAAAGAAAAAGGAGAUGAAACAAAUCUAACAGCAGUGUUGAUAAAUCAUAGUGACUGUAACUUGUUUGUAAAGUAGUUCGGUGUCCAACAGGUAACUCUGGAUGCUGUUCGGGAAAUGCUAUCUCAGUGCGGCCUUUACUAAGAGCUCAUUGUCAUUGAUGAAGGAUGAAGAAAGCCACAGUUUCUUGACUAGAGACUUGAUUUAAUCAGCAAAUAUAAUUUGCUGGAGAAUAAACACACAUUCCUGUAAAUUCUGUUUUACUUUUUCACUGGAAAAAGAAAGGAGUUAAGAUUAAAUGAAGUUAAGUUAAAAUACAGUGAGAUCCUGAAGGAUAUAGAGGUGCUCUCAUGCCUUAAUGCUCAGGGGAGACCAGCUGUUGGAGAUAGCUCUUCUCUUCUGUGUCUCUCUCCAUGGUCUUUACCUGGGAUAGCUCCAACUUGGUUUUCCCCUUGCUUCAGGGGAUUUUGCUGCUUAGCUGAGCUUCAAGGCAGAACUUGGUGAGUUAUGAUUUUGCAUAUUACUGCUGCUUUAGGGACUGCAAUCUAGGGGCCAUGUUUUAAGCUUAAGCUUAAAUAUAUAUAUAUUCUUAGUUCACUAUAGGUAUUUAAUAAGUUAAAUAAAUAUAUAUGUACAUAGAACAAAUACUGUCUGCCUUCCUGCUAUAUUUUUUUAGUUAUGUUGAUAUAAAAUUGGACAGUUUUUUCAGAGUGGUAACACUGGAUCAUUAUUUUGAGGCUGGCCUAGGCCUAGUCUAUGUAGUAAUACUCUGCCUCAAAAAAGGUAAAAUUGAGCAGGUUUUAUGGGUGAUGAGUAAAUUAAUUCUAAGAGCAGUGAGAGAAAGUGUGUGUGUCUUUUUUCAGUGAUAAAGAAACUGAGACCCACCUGGGGCUUAAGCCAGAUGGGGAGUUAAGUUAGAAGCCAGUGGGAAUCAGAUAGAGCACACGCUUUCCUUAAAUACUGUUUCUGUCUUAUAAACCACUAUGUCCUGGCCUUCACUGGAGGGAAUAUCUCAAGACUAAGCCUUGGCCGUUCUUGGAGACAUGAAUGGUCUUCUAAAAAGCAAGCCACAGAUGGUGCGUAUCCUUGUCAACGGAAGGAAACAGGAAGCAUAGCCUGCAGCAGAACUGGGGAAAUUACUUAGCUUAGGGCUAGAACUCCUCAGCUCCAUGAACAGAAAAAAAAUUCUAGCCCAUAAUAGGACUAACAAUUAAGCCUUACUGAAUGCAGAGCACAGAGCAUCUCUAGAACGCCCUCCCAGAAGCAAACUGCCUGAGCUCCAUUAGAGAUGAGGAAGUUAAUGAGGCAUGUGCUCACACUGCUGAUGACUACCAAGCCAUACCCCGUGCUGCUUGUUAGAGCUUCUUACUGAGUUUGUACACGUCAAGGCCACAGAUCCUCUGGUGCCACUUUUACUAGAGACUUCGUCAGUAAGCAAUACAAAAAUUAACUACUUUUACUGAUGGUGUGUCAUUAGAAGCUGCUUUGUGUGUACUCUGCUGCAGGGUGAGCUAUGCCCAUGCCAGGAUUUGUUCCAAAAACCAUGUAGAGUUCUCCAAGAACCUGUUUAUACAAAGAAGUGCCCUCCAACUUGUCUGACUGGAUGGCAUUCGGGGUUUAUAGGUCCUAGUAAACCAUCUUGUAUCCUUUUGUGAUUUGUUUGGGCACAAGGGACUUUAUUCCUUUUGAGAACUUUUGUUUAUAAAUAGAUUCAAAUGUGCAAUCAAAAACUGUCAUCUCAAAAUAAAUACAGUUUUGACAAAAAUGUUAA